UACGUAGGGUGCAAGCGUUGUCCGGAAUUAUUGGGCGUAAAGAGCUUGUAGGCGGUUUGUCGCGUCUGCUGUGAAAUUUCGGGGCUCAACCCCGAACUUGCAGUGGGUACGGGCAGACUAGAGUGUGGUAGGGGAGACUGGAAUUCCUGGUGUAGCGGUGAAAUGCGCAGAUAUCAGGAGGAACACCGGUGGCGAAGGCAGGUCUCUGGGCCGAUACUGACGCUGAGGAGCGAAAGCGUGGGGAGCGAACAGG
rnacentral:rRNA from 1 species